UUGACUGGAAACUUUUGUUGGACAGCUUGUGGCUAAGUUAUGCAUUCAAAAAGUUCAAGGAUAGAGAAGUGAGUGAUGUUUAUGGACUUCUACUAGAGAACAUAGAAGAGGAUGAAGAUAUUGAUAAGGUGUGUAUGUACUUGGUAGUAUGAUUGCUGAAAUGGAAUUUUUUUUUCUAAAUUCCUUUCUCAUUUUUUUUUCACAGAAUGAUUCUGAGGAUGAUAUUGUGGUGGAUCAAACUCGUGGCCUGGACCUACCCAGUUCAAACACAGCUUUGAGUACCCAUCCAAGCAUGGAAAAAGAAAAUGAUGAAGAAGGCAUGACUGCGAAAAGAACUCCAGUAUGUGUAUGUAUUUGGUGCAAGUAAUGAGACAUGUUGUGAGUAUGAUUGCUGAAAUGGAUUUUUUUUUUCUAAAUUCCUUUUAUCAUUUUAUUUUGGGUAAUUUCCUGAAUAAGCACAACUUUAUGUUGUUUCUUCCCAAAUAAACAC
rnacentral:lncRNA from 1 species